CCACUAUAAAUAUGGCAUCCUACUGCCUCUCUAUUGUCAUAAGCAAACCCCAGAGGCCACAGAGGAGGAAGACGAUGGGAUCCACCAAGAAAGCUUCAGUGCUCCUCGUUCUCCUCCUCUCCCUUCUCCUAAUUGCUUCUGAGGAAAUGGUAGCGGUGGAAGGCAGGACGUGCGAGUCGGCGAGCACCAGGUUCAAGGGGACGUGCGUGAGGAGCAGCAACUGCGCCAGCGUCUGCCAGGGCGAGGGCUUCCCCGACGGCAAGUGCGAGGGCGUCCGUCGCCGGUGCAUGUGCAGGAAGCCCUGCUGAAGAAGCCCCUCCACCUGUUUCUCAUCACCGUCGUUACUACGUUGGCGUG